rnacentral:sRNA from 1 species
CUGUAUAAAAUACAUAUGCCACAUUGCGUGAAAUAUAUAUUACGUUCACACGUAUUAUACUAUGUUAACGCAUAUGACGGUUCCGUGAUAUGUUACACGCUUGGUCGUAUAUCUAUAUUGCGGUCCGUUUAAAUAUUGUCUAACGACACACGUUGAUUAUAAUUUAUAUAUCAUACGACAAUGUUAGAGAUUAUUAUAAUAUUUGUCGAACGAUCGGACGGUGUUACCGCUGAUGCGCUUCACGGCGUAAGGCGGGACGCUUUCGACUCUUCGAGUUGGAGUGUUAUGUAACGAUAUCACACAUACGAGAGGGUUGAUCGCGUGUUCGACACAGUUCACAUGUCGCGAGACACAUAAAUAUUAUCAAUCUCUAUAUAAACAAUUGACGUAUACACAAAGAUAUAUGAGACUUAAAUCAUCGACAGUAGGCGGACUCGACGUCCGAAGAGCGCAUCGACGCCGUCGUCGUUAUCGAUCGUUAUUAUUGUAAAAAAUGUAACGUGUCGUAGCGGUUGCGUCGUCGUAACGCUGACGGAUAUCGCGUCUGCCUCAUAUUUUUAUCGUUGGCCUCAGAUCAGGGAGGAUCACCCGCCGAAUUUAAGCAUAUUAGUAAGCGGAGGAAAAGAAACUAACUAGGAUUUCCUUAAUAGCGGCGAGCGAACAGGAAAGAAGCCCAGCACUGAAUCCCGCCGUUGUUCAGGCGGCGGGAGAUGUGGUGUUCGGGAGGUUCCGCUUUCUCGUCGCGAUCGCUCCUGUCCAAGUUCGUCUUGAGCGGGGCCGUUUUCCCGUAGAGGGUGCCAGGCCCGUAGCGACGGAGGAUCGUGGCGAGAGGGACUCUCCUUAGAGUCGGGUUGCUUGAGAGUGCAGCCCUAAGUGGGUGGUAA